GUCCUUUUGUUUAUUUAUUUAAGGUCUAACCUGCCCUAUGAUUUAUUAAAUGGCCGCGGUACACUAACCGUGCAAAGGUAGCAUAAUCACUUGUCUUUUAAUUGAAGGCUAGAAUGAAUGGUUGGACGAGAUAUAAACUUUCUUAAUUGUAUUUUGUAUAAUUUUAUUUUUUAGUCAAAAAGCUAAAAUUUUUUUAUAGGACGAGAAGACCCUAUAGAAUUUUAUGUUUAUUACUUUUUAAGUAUUUGGUUUAUUUUUACUUUUAGAUUAUAUACAUUUUGUUGGGGCGACAGGAAAAUUUAUUUAACUUUUUUUAUUUUAUUUCAUUAAUACAUGUUUUUGUGAUCCAUUUUUAGUGAUUAAAAGAUUAAAUUACCUUAGGGAUAACAGCGUUAUUCUUUUGGAGAGUUCUUAUCGAUAAAGGAGUUUGCGA
rnacentral:rRNA from 1 species